CUGGUAGCCAACAGAGAAAUAUCUCUUUGGGGAAUGUUUGGGUUUCCUUCUUGGAGUUUUCCAGAAAAGCCCUUAUCUCUGGAGUGGGGAUAAUGGACUGUGAUUAGACUUGCAGAAUAAAGACUGUUACUUUUAUUGUGUGAUCUCCAAAGCAGAUGGAUUCAGGACAAGGACUUGGGCUGUAAGAUCCACAGUUUAACCAGUGAUGUUAUUCUAGUUUAGAAUUAUGUAGUAGUCAUUUUCAUAGUUGGAAGUGUUUAUGGGAAGCAUGUAGAUCUUUUGGCAGUAAGCAAGAAGAUUAAGUGUGCCGAAUCUCAGCUCUCUUGCUGACCAACCCUAUUGCUGUUAUCAGCCUAGGAACACGAUAGGAACUCAAGUGAGAUCUGCAUGCAAUGUCAACAUGAGUAAUAAGCAACAUAUCUGGCACUCCACAGAAAAAUUCUCUUCCACAUAAACCCGAACAUAAACCCACUUUCUGUCAAAUUCACCUUACGUGUGGUCCAACUCAAACCUAGUCCCAGUCUCAACCCUAAUUCAAAUUACAGACUUAAUUCUAAUUUUUCUUGUCUCUUUCCCAUUCUAGUUUUCUAGGCUUCUAUGAAGUGCAAACUUCAAGCCUAAGUCCAUUACUUCAGCCUUUCCUUUCUAUAGCUCCAGAGAAACAAGAGAUCAUUCAUUGACCUUAUGUCAUAAAUCAAUUCAAAAAAAGAGAAGGUCUCAAUACAUAAAUAAGUUCUUUAUUUAGUUAUACUAAUAUCAGUAAAUUAAUAUAUUUCCCAUACUGAAUUUUGAACAGUAAAGUAAGAACAAACUUUGGUCCCCUUGGAUUUUAAUGAAGGGUAAACUAAGUCUCUUUUGAGUAAGUAAAAGUAAAAAUAAGGUGGUCUUUUUCAAAAGUUUAACAUUUCCCCCAAACUACUUUUAUUCUUCUGAAUGCACAGUUAGUUUUGGAGCCUUCUAGGAGGAGUUCUCUUGGGAAAGACUAGAUCUGGAGGAAAAACGGUGACUGCACUGGCUCUCAGAAAUGUGAAUGUACUGAAGUUGUCACUCUGGAAAGCUGCAAAAAUGGAGCAAUCUAUAAACUGGAAAGAUAUUGGAAACAAGACAUGGUACAAUUUGCAAGACUGCCUGAACCAAAGGACUGAAGUGAGAACUGAUGACUGAAAAAUUUACAGUAGUUCAGUUUGAAGUGUUUUUAACCAUGUAGAGCACUCCCUUCAAACAGCACCAGGCAAUCUCAACAGAGGGGCAGCCCACGUUUUGUAGCUGUUAAAUACAAAACUUCAUUCCUAGUAAUAGUUUCAAAAUAUACACAUGAAAUGUGAAGGAGUCUUCAGAAAGACCUACAAAAUGAAACUGGGUAAGAUACAAUGUGUACUGAUUUCACAUGUCCUCGAGGCGGCAUAAUUUAAUAGACAAUACUGGCAAAUGUAAUAUGGAUUAUGUUAAUAGGUUAUGGAUUAUGCUAACAGUGUUUGAGAACCCUAUAGAAUAUGAUGGAAAAUAUUUAUUUCUUUUAACCUUUGUGUUUGUAGCAAAGUCAUAAUGGUUUACUCAAUUAAUGAAUUCAAAAGUAAUUUAAAAGAGCUUAGCUUGCCUUACGCAUUCCAGUAUGGAUAAAGAUGACAAAAUCUCAAAACCAACACAGCCUGGUUUGGCUCUGCACCAUCACUCAUCUUGAGGAAGAGCCUUAAUGCUCUUCCAGAGAUGACAUCAUGGACUAAGUCUAAAUGUUUGGGGGGAAAAAAAAGUAAAAAAUAGAAAGGAAUUGUGUGUUCACACCCAGCUGAUCGCAUAUCUGCAUCCAGACAUCAGCCUUCCAGCCUCAGCACUAAAAGCCCUGGAGACACCAGAAGCAGCUGUGCUGCUCUCCAGCUCAGCUCAGCGCUGCUCUGUGCAGGGUUGGGUGAGCUCUGCUCGGUGAGCGGUGAGGAGCCGGAGCCCGAACCCACCGUGCUGAGGAGGUUGCCACGGUUACCACAGGGAUCCCUGCGCUCGGUGCUGAGAUUCAGGGCUGUAAUAGAGAUGCUUUGCUUCACUAAACAGGAAAAAAAAUUGCGAAAUAUAGAAUGGUGAUUAAGUAAUUUACAAUUGCUGCAGAAGCAAAUAAAAAUAAGCAGUAACAAUUAUAUAUAGACAAAAUGCAAGAGCUGUAAAACUGUUGCUAUUCCCUUAAUUAUAUACAGAUGUUUAAAACAAA